rnacentral:rRNA from 1 species
UGGCGAAGGCGGGUNUCUGGGCCGUUACUGACGCUGAGGAGCGAAAGCGUGGGGAGCGAACAGGAUUAGAUACCCUGGUAGUNCACGCCGUAAACGUUGGGCACUAGGUGUGGGGGGCCUUUUCCGGNUCUUCCGCGCCGUAGCUAACGCAUUAAGUGCCCCGCCUGGGGAGUACGGCCGCAAGGCUAAAACUCAAAGGAAUUGACGGGGGCCCGCACAAGCGGCGGAGCAUGCGGAUUAAUUCGAUGCAACGCGAAGAACCUUACCAAGGCUUGACAUGUGCCGGUCUGCUCCGGAGACGGGGUUUCCUCCUUUGUGGGGGCUGGUUCACAGGUGGUGCAUGGUUGUCGUCAGCUCGUGUCGUGAGAUGUUGGGUUAAGUCCCGCAACGAGCGCAACCCUUGUCUCGUGUUGCCAGCACGUUGUGGUGGGGACUCGCGGGAGACUGCCGGGGUCAACUCGGAGGAAGGUGGGGAUGACGUCAAAUCAUCAUGCCCCUUAUGUCUUGGGCUUCACGCAUGCUACAAUGGCCGGUACAGAGGGCUGCGAUACCGUGAGGUGGAGCGAAUCCCUUAAAGCCGGUCUCAGUUCGGAUCGGUGUCUGCAACUCGACACCGUGAAGUUGGAGUCGCUAGUAAUCGCAGAUCAGCAACGCUGCGGUGAAUACGUUCUCGGGCCUUGUACACACCGCCCGUCACGUCAUGAAAGUCGGCAACACCNGAA